rnacentral:rRNA from 1 species
AGGGUUCGAUUCUGGCUCAGGAUGAACGCUAGCUACAGGCUUAACACAUGCAAGUCGAGGGGCAUCAGGGAUCUAGCUUGCUAGAUUUGCUGGCGACCGGCGCACGGGUGAGUAACGCGUAUCCAACCUUCCCUAUAGUAGAGGAUAGCCCGGCGAAAGUCGGAUUAAUACUCUAUGUUGUAUUUUAGAGGACAUCUGAAGAAUACCAAAGGUUUACCGCUAUAGGAUGGGGAUGCGUCUGAUUAGGUUGUUGGCGGGGUAACGGCCCACCAAGCCUACGAUCAGUAGGGGUUCUGAGAGGAAGGUCCCCCACAUUGGAACUGAGACACGGUCCAAACUCCUACGGGAGGCAGCAGUGAGGAAUAUUGGUCAAUGGGCGCGAGCCUGAACCAGCCAAGUUAAGCGUGCAGGAUGACGGCCCUAUGGGUUGUAAACUGCUUUUAUAUGGGGAUAAAGUGAGGGACGUGUCCCUUUUUGUAGGUACCGUAUGAAUAAGGACCGGCUAAUCCCGUGCCAGCCGCAGC